AGAACCUUGGCCCCUUACAUAAAUAAACAUUUGUAUGUGUCAUUUGUGUGUGUGUUUUUAUGUCGUUGUUAUAUGAGACAUUGUGUUUGGUUAUCUUUAUAAAUGAUUAAUGCUUAGUCUACAAAAAGUGUCUUGAUUUUGUUGAAACUUAUAUAAUCAUCUUGUCAUAACUUCUACCAUCAAGAUUUUAUUAUCUGUAAGUACUGUACUAUCAAACAAUGGUCUUUCAUUCAUCUUGAUGCAAAGAAUGACUUUUUCAUAGUGGAAAACAAGGAAAUUGGUUUGACUAGAAGGUGUGUUUAGAUUUUGUUUCCUCUUUCGUACUUCCAUGAAUUAC
rnacentral:lncRNA from 1 species